rnacentral:rRNA from 1 species
UUGGAGGGCAAGUCUGGUGCCAGCAGCCGCGGUAAUUCCAGCUCCAAUAGCGUAUAUUAAAGUUGCUGCAGUUAAAAAGCUCGUAGUUGAAUUUCGGGACCAUCAUGUCGGUCGUGCCUCGGUACGUACUGGUAUUGUUGGUUUCUCCCUUCUGACGAACCACGAUGUCAUUUAUUUGGUGUUGUGGGGAAUCAGGACUGUUACUUUGAAAAAAUUAGAGUGUUUAAAGCAGGCUCACGCUUGAAUACAUUAGCAUGGAAUAAUGAAAUAGGACGUUUGGUUCUAUUUUGUUGGUUUCUAGGAUCGACGUAAUGAUUAAUAGGGAUAGUUGGGGGCAUUAGUAUUCAAUUGUCAGAGGUGAAAUUCUUGGAUUUAUUGAAGACUAACUACUGCGAAAGCAUUUGCCAAGGAUGUUUUCAUUAAUCAAGAACGAAAGUUAGGGGAUCGAAGACGAUCAGAUACCGUCGUAGUCUUAACAAUAAACUAUGCCGACUAGGGAUCGGAUGAUGUUAAUUUUUUAAUGACUCAUUCGGCGCCUUACGGGAAAC